rnacentral:rRNA from 1 species
UAGUCCACGCCGUAAACGAUGGUCACUAGCUGUUCGUCCGCUUGCGGAUGAGUGGCUAAGCGAAAGUGAUAAGUGACCCACCUGGGGAGUACGUUCGCAAGAAUGAAACUCAAAGGAAUUGACGGGGGCCCGCACAAGCGGUGGAGCAUGUGGUUUAAUUCGAUGAUACGCGAGGAACCUUACCAGGGCUUAAAUGUAAGUUGCAUUAGCUGGAGACAGCUAUUUCUUCGGACCACUUACAAGGUGCUGCAUGGUUGUCGUCAGCUCGUGCCGUGAGGUGUCAGGUUAAGUCCUAUAACGAGCGCAACCCCUGUUGUUAGUUGCCAGCAUGUAAAGAUGGGAACUCUAACAAGACUGCCGGUGCAAACCGUGAGGAAGGUGGGGAUGACGUCAAAUCAUCACGGCCCUUACGUCCUGGGGCUACACACGUGCUACAAUGGUAGGGGACAGAGAGCAGCCACUUCGCGAGAAGGGAGCGAAUCUAUAAA